AGGCAAAUUGUUCUACACGGAGAAAAAACCAAAGAGAAAAAGACUGAUAAAAACCUACCCUUCUCCGGAAGAAGGCAGUGAUUAUGGGUGUUCCCGCCCCUUGUUGAUUCAUCCAUGGCUUUUUGGUUGAAUAUAUACCCAAUAGAUUUUGUUUUGCUUCUGUUCACUUGUCAUCCUACCCUAUUACAUCUGUUUUGUCGGAGGAAAACCCCCUGCUGACAAACAUGGCGGUGCGGCGAUCUCUUUGGCCUUCUAAAUGGAAGAUCGCCUUUGCUGCCACCGCCUUGGGCUGCGGAGCUGCUGCAGCUACAAUUGCUAACUCCGACGAUCCUGCAACCUCUCUCAAGCUCUGCACCGCCGUCCCUGUCCGCCUCUUUCGCCUCUCAGUCACUGCUGCUACCAUUGCCUUCGAUUAUGAGUAUUCACUAAUGGGACUGCCAGAAGAUAGCGAUGAGAGGGUAAGAGUUAAGCAUGAAGUUCACACCAGGAGCGCACGUAGGCUUGAAGAGCUAUGUUUCAAAAAUGGUGGAAUUUAUAUCAAACUUGGUCAACAUGUUGGUCAACUGGACUAUUUGGUACCACUAGAGUAUGCUAAGACAAUGAGGGAGUCAAUGUUGAAUAGAUGCCCAACUUCUACCUAUGAUCAAGUCUGCCAAGUUGUGAAGAAAGAGCUUGGUGGGGCACCUGAAGAGAUAUUUGAGGAGUUCGAUCCUGUUCCAAUUGCAAGUGCUUCCCUUGCACAAGUUCAUGUUGCUCGUACUCAUGAUGGGCAAAAAGUUGCUGUGAAGGUACAGCAUACCCAUAUGACAGAUACUGCAGCUGCUGAUUUUGCCACAGUGGAAGUGAUUGUAAACACUUUGCACCGCUUCUUUCCGUCAUUUGAUUACAGGUGGUUGGUAGAUGAAGUACGUGAAACUUCACCCAAGGAGCUAGAUUUCUUAAAUGAAGCCAAGAACAGCGUACAAUGUAUGGAUAACUUUCGAAGGUUAUCUCCUCAUAUUGCAGACUACAUAUAUGCUCCUACAAUCUAUUGGAGUCUAAGUACCACAAAAGUGUUGACCAUGGAGUUCAUAGAAGGUGCACAAGUGAAUGAUUUAAAGAGCAUCAAAAAACUUGGAAUUCAACCACAUGACAUUUCAAAAUUAGUUAGUCAAACUUUUGCUGAAAUGAUGUUCAAACAUGGAUUUGUGCACUGUGAUCCACAUGCUGCUAACUUGCUAGUUCGUGCUUUGCCUUUGGGUAGAAGUAGCAUUUUUGGAAGACGUAAACCGCAAUUGGUACUCCUUGACCAUGGUCUUUACAAAGAGCUUGACACUUACACAAGGACCAACUAUGCCGCAUUAUGGAAGGCUUUGGUAUUGGCUGAUGUCAGCGCAAUCAAGGAAAAUUGCAUGAAAUUUGGUGCUGGAGAGGAUCUGUAUGCGUUUUUCACUAGCAUUCUUACUAUGAAACCAUGGGAGAGAGUUAUUGAUCCGGCUGUUGAUCAUUUGGCCAUACAUGAUCUAUCAGAACUUCAGAUAUACGGUCCUGAGUAUUUCUCUCAGGUCACAGAGCUUCUGCGUAGACUGCCUCGUGUUAUACUUCUAAUGAUGAAAACAAAUGAUUGCUUACGUUCAGUCGACAAUGCAUUGUUGCAAAGACCUUCUCUCGGGUCGUUCUUGAUCAUCGGCAGAGUUUCAUCUGAGGCAGUUAUGAAGGAGAAGUUAUCACAUGUCAAGUCCUUAUUUAGCUUGAUAAGUAUAUGGUUGGAAGAGAUCUCACUAGAAGCUCGGUUCUUAAUAAUGCAAGUAGCCUUGUGGGUCCUACAAUUCCGGAAAUCUUUGAGCUUGUGAAGGGAACAUCAUAUACUAAAAACUCCUAGAGGCUUUGAUACAUAGAAGAAAGUAUUUGGGGGGCUUACUUUACCUAAUCCAGCUAAUCAGAUGAAUGAGGUAACGUUAAUAAAUAUGAUUUCAUCCUAUAAAUUACCAGUUAGAGUUGCAUCUUGUAGAAAUGUAUGUCCAAUUUGUACGAAAUGCACAGUGAGAUACUUGCUACUCCAUUGCCAAGGGUGUCAUUGUACUGCUAUAUUGUCAUGGUUCAAUACUUCACUAGAAGCAGGAAAAAGGCUCUAAUACCAUUUGGGUGGUAGUAUUACUAUGUUUAUAUCUUUAGUGUUACUUGAAGCAUAUUAUCAAUAUGGUCCAUAUUCGUAUUU